ensembl:lncRNA
AAGUGUGGGCUGAGUAAAUGCUUCAGCUGAUUCUUUGCAAUCUGAAAAUUAUUUCUAAUAUAGUUAUGUGACUGCUGCUGCUGCAUGUAGAAGAUGGAGAAACAGAAGGAAGUUCUGGUCUACUGCAUAUGAGAAGAGCUUGCCUGGCAGAUGGCAAAGAGCAGGGAACUUUGUGGCAGUUGUAGUUCAACCUUCCAGCCAAAUGUAUCUUCCCAGUGACCAAACGGGCACAAGAUGAAAUUUGUUUUCUGCUAUUCUUGUUGAUUUUGUUGGCUUCCAGCUGCUGCCCACCCAGGAGGCAUAGGCUUGUGACAGAGAGUUCUUUCCUCAUUUGGGUACCCUUAGAGGUGUUGACAAAAGGCCUUAAAUAAAUAAAUAAAUAAAUAAAUAGCCAGUUGUCUUCAUUUCCUUGGGCUACCUGAACUUUGGAAAAUUAUGUGUUUAGUACAAAUAUCUUGUACUAAACAAGAAAUUUCAUGCCAAAGAAUCUCACCUUGGCCUAGCUAUGUACCUAAAUCCAGAGAGCCUCAGAUUUGAUUCCCUGAUGCCUACUUUAAGAUUUGUUUAAAUGAGUUUGCACUGGAGCUUACUGUAUCUGGUAAAGAAAGCCAGUGAAGCAGAUUUGCAGAAGCAGAGACGACAGUUGGGAAAGGACUACAUUUCUUUAUGCAAUCAGAACCAUGGGAGGGUGGUAGCUGUUGCUAUUUCACUCUUUCAGAUUGUUAUGUUUUCAUGAAGGUAAGUUAUUAAAGUUGUGGGUUUAAGGGGAUUUAAUUCUCUAUGCAUUAAGUCCUAUGAUUCAUAGAAAAUGAUUUAAUUUCCUUGUUUGAAAGCUUAAACUUCAUCCAGAAUUAUAUAUUCAACUCACUUUUUUUGUUCAUUAUUUUAAAGAAAGCACGGAAAAAAAAGCUAUUUUUUGCAUAGUGUACAAUUACAUUUUACAUACCUUUUUAUUCUUUUUUCAUUCUUUUUUAAAUUUAUUUUUCUUAAUCAUAGUCCUAUAAGAAUGAAAGAAGACAAAAACAAAAACAGGAACAACAACAACAAAAAAACCCAUGUUUAUUUAUGUGCAUAUCUAUUCAAUAUAGUAAUCUACUGAUUUGAGUAUCUGCUUAGUAAUUUUACUUAAUGCAUUUAUUUUAUACUGAUCAUGAUGCUGAAAGAAAUUUCCCUUCAUUGCUCCUCCCUUUUCUUAAGACAACAUAGAAGGCCUUAGAAAUUGCUUCUAGAAUACAGUAUUUUCUAAAUAUUAGUUCAGGGAAUAAGAGCGCUGGGAACUGCUGCAUUUGCUGAAAUAGAUAACAUUGCAUAGUUGCAUUUUUGUUUGUCUGUUUGUUUACUUUUGAUUUUUUUUCUCAUUCUCUUUUCUUUAGACAAAAUUAAGACUGGGAUGAUGUGAAGUGCUUGCAAGUCAUGACCGUGCUUCACUGUGGGGAGGGAAACACCACAGCUGUAACUUACAAGUGAUGCACCUCAGGAAAGCUUGGGCUAAAUAGGAUUGAAUUGUGAAGGAGGAUAUGAGAAUGAAAUCUUCAAACUAUGAACCCUACAUGGUGUAAUGAUAAAAUAAAUAUGUUUUUAACUUUUUCC